AUGGCGACCGAGCCGGCGUACGCGCUGCCGAUUAAGUCCGGCAAGCUGGGCUUUGAGGGCCCACAGGAGGUGCUGCACAGGGUCCGCAUAACCCUCUCCUCCAACAGCGUCAAGAACCUCGAGAAGGUGUGCUCCGAUCUGGUGAAGCGCACCAAGGAGCAGCCUCUCAGGGUCAGGGGCCCCGUCAGGAUGCCCACCAAGGUGCUCAACAUCACCACCAGGAAGUCCCCCUGUGGAGAAGGUACCAACACCUGGGAACGGGUUGAGCGUACGUUGUACACUUCAUAUGUAUAG
rnacentral:rRNA from 1 species